rnacentral:rRNA from 1 species
CGCAUCUGUGCAUGCAGCAUAUCAAUAAGCGGAGGAAAAGAAACUAACAAGGAUUCCCCUAGUAACGGCGAGUGAAGCGGGAAGAGCUCAAAUUUGAAAUCUUAAAGGGUUUCCCUUUACGAAUUGUAGUUUAAAGAAGUGUUUUCUGUUGAGGUUUUGGUAAAAGUUCUUUGGAAUAGGACAUCAUAGAGGGUGAGAAUCCCGUAUUUGACCUUUACUUUCAACUUUGUGAUACACUUUCAAAGAGUCGGAUUGUUUGGGAAUGCAGUCCAAAAUGGGUGGUAAAUUUCAUCUAAAGCUAAAUAUUGGCGAGAGACCGAUAGCGAACAAGUACCGUGAGGGAAAGAUGAAAAGAACUUUGAAAAGAGAGUUAAACAGUACGUGAAAUUGUCAAAAGGGAAGCGUUUGACACCAGUGUUGUUUUUCUGAAAAUCAAUUAAAGAACUGUUUAUGCUAAGCUGUUUAGACUUUAUCAGCUAAUCUGUUUAGUUUUGAGCUUUUCUUUAAUGCACUUUUCAGUUAACAAGUCAACAUCAAUUUCUUUUGCUGUAAAAAAGCUUGAGGAAGGUGGCUUGAGAUUCGUCUUAAGUGUUUAUAGCCUCUUGCCUAUGCAGUCGGAGAGAUUGAGGUCUGCAGCGUAGAUCCUUCGGGGCUAAAUGCAUUUGUGCUAAGUUAUAACAUUUCAUAGACAACUUGUUGACUAUGAUUUGUCUUGUAGCUUACUCGCUUAUGUUAUUUUACCUACGCUUAGGAUGUUGACAGCAGUAUAGACUGU